rnacentral:sRNA from 1 species
CAUCAUCGAUCUGCUGCGGGCAGAUGAAAUGGAUAUGCGUAUCGAAGCCCCCGGCGGUGAGGAUCUUGCCCUCGCCCGCGAUCACUUCGGUGCCCGGUCCGACGAUGAUGGUCACGCCCGGCUGGAUAUCCGGAUUGCCGGCCUUGCCGAUGGAGUGGAUCUUGCCGUCCUUCAACCCGACAUCGGCCUUCACGAUGCCCCAGUGAUCGAGGAUCAGCGCAUUGGUGAUGACGGUGUCGACCGCGCCCUGCUUGUUGGUGAUUUGCGACUGCCCCAUCCCGUCACG